rnacentral:misc_RNA from 1 species
GAUGAAGAACGUAGCAAAAUGCGAUACGUAAUGUGAAUUGCAGAAUUCAGUGAAUCAUCGAAUCUUUGAACGCACAUUGCACUCCUUGGUAUUCCGAGGAGUAUGCCUGUUUCAGUAUCAUGAGCACUCUCACAUCUAACCUUUGGGUUAAAAUGUGGAAUUGGGAUGCGCCGGUUAUUAUAACGGCCCUCCUAAAAUUCAGUUCUUGGCUGCUUCCUACUACAGCAGUUUGGCCUAAUAGUUUUGAGUCUUCGAUUCAAAUCUUUGGCUAACAUUUGCUUCAGGAUGUCAGUCUUGAUAUACAGAAAUCUCAUUCAAACUUUGAUCUGAAAUCAGGUAGGGCUACCCGCUGAACUUAAGCAUAUCAAUAAGCGGAGGA